GAUGAACGCUGGCGGCGUGCCUAAUACAUGCAAGUCGAGCGAACAGACGAGGAGCUUGCUCCUCUGACGUUAGCGGCGGACGGGUGAGUAACACGUGGAUAACCUACCUAUAAGACUGGGAUAACUUCGGGAAACCGGAGCUAAUACCGGAUAACAUCUUGAACCGCAUGGUUCAAUAGUGAAAGAUGGUUUUGCAGCACUCUAAAGAUGGCCCCCCUCGGCUUUAGCUAGUUGGUAAGGUAACGGCUUACAAAGCGAACGUAGCGUAGCCAACCUGAGAGGGUGAUCGGCCACACGGGAACUGGGACACGGUCCAGACUCCUACGGGGGGCAGCAGAAGGGAAUCUUCCGCAAUGGGCGAAGGCCUGACGGGGCAACGCCGCGUGAGUGAUGAGGGUCUUCGAAUCGUAAAACUCUGUGAUAAGGGAAGAAGAAGUGGGUAGGUAACUAUGCACGUCGUGACGGUACCUAAUCAGAAAGCCACGGCUAACUACGUG
rnacentral:rRNA from 1 species